UACAGGGGGGGCAAGCGUUGUUCGGAAUUACUGGGCGUAAAGGGUUUGUAGGUGGCCACUUAAGUCAGACGUGAAAUCCCUCGGCUCAACUGAGGAACUGCCUUUGAAACUGUCUGGCUUGAGGCCGGUAGAGGGUAGUGGAAUUCCCAGUGUAGCGGUGAAAUGCGUAGAGAUGUGGAGGAACACCAGUGGCGAAGGCGACUUUCUGGCCUAUAACUGACGCUGAGGCGCGAAAGCGUGGGGAGCAAACAGG
rnacentral:rRNA from 1 species